AAGCCUGCACUGAAGGCUGAGUCGCCGGAGCCGGUUGCAACACCUAUCCUGCCGUCCACUGAAGCUGCGCAGCUGCCGGACGACCCGGAGUUCUACCAGGACCUUCUGCGCGGGCUGCAGCUACCCGACAUCGACCCGAUGGACUUCCGCGCCGGCCUGGACGCCCUGGAUGUUUCCGAUGCGCCCUUCUGCUUGGACGACGACCAGGACCUGCUGUUCGGGGACUUCGCGGACGAGGAGCUGGAUGAGAUCGACCUCGACCUCGACGACAUCAACGACGUCUUCCCGGAGAUCCCCGGCUGCGACCUCGGCCGCGGCAUGGACGACUUCCUGCAAACCGUGGAUUUCUGCGUGUGAAUUAAGCAAGUGCCUUAGUGUUAUCGAUGUUGGUGUGAUAAAAUGGGCCUGUGAGUGCGCUUGGGAGGGGAUUUCUUGGGUUUUUUCCCCGGGCAACA
rnacentral:lncRNA from 1 species